AUUCCAUAUUGCGGGCAUUACCUGAACAUCUCCUUGUAUCUCUCCCAAGUGUUAUAUAAGGAUUCAGACUCCAACUGUAGGAAGGAAGUGAUAUCGCUCCUCAACUU